GAUGAACGCUGGCGGCGUGCCUAAUACAUGCAAGUCGAACGAGGUGCUUUUGUAGCAAUACGAAAGUAUCCUAGUGGCGAACGGGUGAGUAACGCGUUGGUGACCUACCCCAAAGUGUGGGAUAACAGUUCGAAAGAACUGCUAAUACCGCAUGUGGUUAUCGGGUUUAGAAACUGAUAACUAAAGGAGCAAUUCGCUUUGGGAGGGACCUGCGUCCCAUCAGCUAGUUGGUGAGGUAAUGGCUCACCAAGGCUACGACGGGUAGGGGACCUGAGAGGGUGACCCCCCCANAAUGGAACUGAAACACGGUCCAUACACCUACGGGUGGCAGCAGUAGGGAAUAUGCACAAUGGGCGAAAGCCUGAUGCAGCAACGCCGNGUGUGCGAUGAAGG
rnacentral:rRNA from 1 species